CGUCGGUGCAGCCACCCCUUCAGAAGACCGCUGCAUGAGUGUCUUUGUGUCUCACUCUGUUAGACCCGGGCUACCUGAGACGAUUUACAACACACGUGGUUUAGGGAUUGUGAUUUUACGAGAAUGCAGAACCAGCUGUAGGAGCCAACGGAUCCGCGAUGACAUCACGCUUGGCCGCUCUACUUAUGAUCAUCCUGCUCGGUCUACACCCGACGCAGCCGGUGAAAUAUCCAGACAGAGACUGGAGCCCCGUCACAGCUGGCCCUACUCACUGGGAGGGGAACACCAGUGGAUACACAGG
ensembl:lncRNA